CCUACGGGAGGCAGCAGUGAGGAAUAUUGGUCAAUGGACGCAAGUCUGAACCAGCCAUGCCGCGUGCAGGAAGACGGCUCUAUGAGUUGUAAACUGCUUUUGUACGAGGGUAAACGCAGAUACGCGUAUCUGUCUGAAAGUAUCGUACGAAUAAGGUCGGCUAAAUCCGUGCCAGCAGCCGCGGUAAAACGGAGGAUUCAAACGUUAUCCGGAUUUAUUGGGGUUAAAGGGUGCGUAGGCGGUCUGAUAAGUUAGAGGUGAAAUCCCGAGGCUCAACUUCGGAAUUGCCUCUGAUACUGUUCGGCUAGAGAGUAGUUGCGGUAGGCGGAAUGUAUGGUGUAGCGGUGAAAUGCUUAGAGAUCAUACAGAACACCGAUUGCGAAGGCAGCUUACCAAGCUACUUCUGACGUUGAGGCACGAAAGCGUGGGGAGCAAACAGGAUUAGAUACCCCAGUAGUC
rnacentral:rRNA from 1 species